rnacentral:rRNA from 1 species
AACUCGCCUCGAGAUAAGAUUUCCCAUUCCGUAAGGAAGUAAGACCCCUGAGAGAUGAUCAGGUAGAUAGGAUGGAAGUGGAAGUGCGGUGACGUAUGAAGCGGACCAUUACUAAUCGGUCGAGGACUUAACCAAG